rnacentral:rRNA from 1 species
CCUACGGGAGGCAGCAGUGAGGAAUAUUGGUCAAUGGGAGAGAUCCUGAACCAGCCAAGCCGCGUGAGGGAAGACGGCCCUAUGGGUUGUAAACCUCUUUUGUCGGAGAACAAAACCCGGGACGUGUCCCGGACUGCGUGUAUCCGAAGAAAAAGCAUCGGCUAACUCCGUGCCAGCAGCCGCGGUAAUACGGAGGAUGCGAGCGUUAUCCGGAUUUAUUGGGUUUAAAGGGUGCGUAGGCGGUCCGUUAAGUCAGCGGUAAACUUGCGGGGCUCAACCCCGUCGAGCCGUUGAAACUGGCAGACUUGAGUUGGCGAGAAGUACGCGGAAUGCGCGGUGUAGCGGUGAAAUGCAUAGAUAUCGCGCAGAACUCCGAUUGCGAAGGCAGCGUACCGGCGCCAGACUGACGCUGAGGCAUGAAAGCGUGGGGAUCGAACAGGAUUAGAUACCCCAGUAGUC